AACCAGCGCGAGCGCCGCUUCCCGCAGCCACAUGGAACGCUCGGCUCGUCACCCGCAACGUUCCACACCCCCCCCCCGCCGAGUGCUCCGGCCCCGCCUCCUAGCACGGCCAUUGGACCAGCGAACGCGAGACAUGGAUUUAGAAAACAACAGCAAUGUGAGUAGAGUUGGUUGAUCUUCAAAGAGGAUUGUACUCUGGGCCUCUAAAUCAACCUGAGGACUAUAAGCGCUCAGAAGGUGCUGGAUGCUUCCUAAACAAGGGGAUAUUCCCAGAGGUCAAAAGCAGCUGUUCUGCUUUUAUGGUGUGAAUCUGUUUCUGCAUCAGUCAUGGAGAUUGGAAGAGAAUGAGGUGGGGGGAAUAUCCCAUUACAUAGCUUGCAAUCCCUGGAGAAGCAUUAAAGCAAUGACCUCACCAUUCUUCUGGAAGGCUCUUCUGUACGUCUGUUUGGAACACUUCCACAGGAAGAAAUAUGAGACGCCAAACUAAAGUCCUAGUGGGUUUAAAAGACUCCAAUAUGGUACCAAUUAACCAGAAUAUUGGCAGAUUAGGGUUCUCGUCUCUUUCAUAAAGGAAGCAAAUUAAAGAGAGAAAAUAAACGCCAGUAUUAGAAAGAAAGUAUUACUCUUUAAUUUACAGGUUUGAACAAGCCUUGCUUACGGCUCAAUGUGAUAACAAGACUGGAUAGAAAAUAGAAGGUGGUUGCAUUACUAUGGCACAGUGGAAUAAGUUGAACACAAAAAGAGAAGAUGGAACUUUCUGCUCCAUGUCCUUUUGGGAUUUAAGGCUCCAGGGUUGUAGAGUUUUUGACAAAGUUGUGUUCUCUCGUCCUAAAGUCAGACAACUGGAUCUGGACAGAGUCUGUAUACUUCCUAGGAUAUGGGAAGUGAAGUCUCUCCGUUAUCCCAUCGUGUGUGUAUUAUUCCAGUGUUAACAGGCCCAUCCCAUUUCACUGUCAAGGGGAAAUUUACAAUGACCUGACCAACGUUACCCUGCUGUGUUUUAUGGAGGAGAGAGUAAGAGGAAGUAACAUAAAGGAUCAAGACAACAGGUUCUGCCGUUCUGAAAUGUUAGCCGUUUGAAAACCUCCUUAGAGCCUCCAGGUAGAAGAUUCAACCCCUGACAAAAUUAGAUAGAAAGGCGUGAGUGAGUAAGAGAGACAGAUCUUCAGCCUUCAAAGACCUAUGAGUCCUGACAUCCAACAACGGGCAGAAAUUAUUAGCUUUUCAUGGUUCAGAGGAUGCCCCAGGUAAAGGUGACCUGAGCAUGUUGAAGAAUGGCUGGUAUCAUCCAUAAAUCGCAGGGAAGGUGGACUACAGACUUGGUCAAAAUCUAUAGGAUCGCCCUUGGGACAAAUGUCCAAGCAAACAAACAAACUGCAAAAUAUUACUGAACAGAACACAACAGUAAGCUUCUAUUCAGGUCAAUGUGACGCUGGAUGAAACCUCGUGCCUGCCUGGAGGAAGUGUGUAACCGGAGACAUCUCUUUGCCUGCUACUACAUCAUAAAUUAAGGACGGCUCAUUGCCUGUGGCGGGUUUACAACACUACCUUGCUUUCUGAGUUUGCACGGCUACACAAUAGGAUCGCACCUCGCUCUCAUACCAUGGUGGGUGACUCCUCCUACUCAGAUGAGGAUGAUGAGAACCAGCCCUGUGGGUGUGGUAUGAGGAGCAGCCUCCUUCUGUGCUUGAUGGCUGCUGCUCACAUCUCCCCCCUUAGAAGUGGCAGUGGCAGAAGGAAGAGUUCAAGAAAAGGUGGAUCAUUUCCAAUGGUCAAAGAUAGCCCAGGUUUGUGGACCAGUAGAGCUUGUGCAAAAGGAGAAUGAAAAAGCUUCCCUUUACAUGCAUGCAGAUUCGCUGCCUUUCUGCAAAGUUAAGUACGGUUAAUAAUGUAUUUGUGCUGAAGGGUUUAUAAGAGG